UACGUAGGGUGCAAGCGUUGUCCGGAAUUAUUGGGCGUAAAGAGCUUGUAGGCGGUUUGUCGCGUCUGCUGUGAAAUUUCGGGGCUCAACCCCGAACUUGCAGUGGGUACGGGCAGACUAGAGUGUGGUAGGGGAGACUGGAAUUCCUGGUGUAGCGGUGAAAUGCGUAGAUAUCGGAAGGAACGCCGGUGGCGAAAGCGGGUCUCUGGACAGUUCCUGACGCUGAGGCACGAAGGUCAGGGGAGCAAACGGG
rnacentral:rRNA from 1 species